rnacentral:lncRNA from 1 species
UAAAAUUGUAAUCAAAAGUCGAGAAAAUAGUUAUUGUAGGUGUUGUAGCAUAGAGUAACCGAAUGAAGGUUCAUUAAUCUACAAAAAAGCCAGAUGAGCAAGAGGACCUUGACAAACUCCCACUGCGACUCCGGCUGCGGCUCCUGCUCCUACUCUGGCUUCGCUUGGAAUUGUGUGGUUUGGGGCUUUUGCUCCUGCUGUGGCUACGCCUGGAGUUGCGUGGUUCUGGGCUUUUACUCAGGCUCUUGCUUCUCCUGGAAUUGCGCGGUUCUGGGCUUUUACUCAGGCUCUUGCUUCUCCUGGAAUUGCGCGGUUCUGGGCUUUUACUCAAGCUCUUGCUUCUCCUGGAAUCGCGAGGUUUUGGGCUUUUGCUCGCACGCUUUGGGCGCUGUGACCAAUCCAGUCAAAUAUAAAAUGCCAACAAACAGAGGAUUCCAAGGAAAGAGAGAACGUAAUCAUAGAACUUAAUACAAAUAUAACAAGACAAAUGGUUCUAUAUUUCCGGGUUUCCAUUUAUUUCAGAAG